GAUCCUGGCUCAGGACGAACGCUGGCGGCGCGCCUAACACAUGCAAGUCGAACGAGCGAGAGAGAGUUUGCUUUCUCGAGCUAGUGGCGAACGGGUGAGUAACGCGUGAGGAACCUGCCUCAAAGAGGGGGACAACAGUUGGAAACGACUGCUAAUACCGCAUAAACCCACGACCCGGCAUCGGGUAGAGGGAAAAGGAGCAAUCCGCUUUGAGAUGGCCUCGCGUCCGAUUAGCUAGUUGGUGAGG
rnacentral:rRNA from 1 species